rnacentral:snRNA from 1 species
GAGCAAACAGAGCUCUUUUAGAAUUUUUCUAACAGGAAUUUUGACCUCGGUCAGAAAACCCAA